CCCCAUCAGAUGGGUUGUGAAUGAAGUAGGGCCGGGUUAGCCCCCUAGUCCCAAUUUCUUCUGAACAACCACUUCACUUCACUAAGCACAAGACGACCUCCCCCUCACUCUCGCCGCUCCUCCCUCCACCUCCUCCCGCCGUCUCCCCCGUCAUGUUAGACCCCGGAGGAAAUUCACCAUCAUCGACGCCUACCGCGAUAAGUGGUACUCCCUCGGCCGCACUAACCUCAAAGUCACCCACUGGAAGAGGUUGCCAAUGUCGUCACUGCCCAGUGCCCCAACACUUACGCCACUGCCAAAACCGUCGUCUAGUGCCGCCACAAAAUGGAAAAACUCCGCAAACACUACCGCACCGAAAUCCAACGUCUCCGCUCCCUCCCUCUCCCUCGCCUCAUCAAUAACUCCAUCACCACUUCACCCUCCUCCUGGGUUCACUUUAAAUCCAUGGAUUCCAUGGAAGAAGGCCCCAACAAACCCCACACCAACCCCACCUUCUGAAAAUAAAGGUGAAAGUAGAUUGUAAUGAAUCUGUCAUUUGGGUUAGCCUUUAAACAAGGGAGAUUGAGAGCAUGCGAUUGGAGAUGGAGAUGAAGCGCACUGUUGCCAAAAACUUUCCUUAUUUUCAUGACCAUGCUUCUAAGGUAAAAAUGCUUAUGCCUUGUCAGUAUUAAGGCGGGUUGAGAUGAAAAUUGAUGGUCGAGAUAUCUCUGAAAGCAGAGAAAUUGAUAUUGCAGAGCAAUGAGAUUAUCUACUAAAGCAAGCCACUAGUGUAGAUAAUCUAUGCAACAUGUACGAAGGAAGAUUAAAUAAGCAUGUUAAAAUAGCGUACAACUUUAGCUUAGUCUUGUAUUUCUAUUUUUAUUCAAAAGCAAGUCAUAGUGUUCUCCAUUACUUUACAGGAAAAUUAUUAUUAUUCGUGUCAUAUAAUUGUUAAAUAUAUAGGUGUUUGUUUAUUUGUGUUACAUUUGCUGCAUCUUCUAAUGUAUGUGUAGUUGUUUCUCAUUUAUUGUGUUCUGAAUUGUAUAUUCUCAAAAGUAAUGUGUAAUAUCAGCAAAUGGUUCUGUUAUUGU